rnacentral:rRNA from 1 species
UACGUAGGUGGCGAGCGUUGUCCGGAUUUACUGGGCGUAAAGAGCGCGCAGGCGGUCGUUCAAGUCGCGUGUGAAAGCCCCCGGCUCAACUGGGGAGGGUCACGCGAUACUGAUCGACUCGAAGGCAGGAGAGGGAAGUGGAAUUCCCGGUGUAGUGGUGAAAUGCGUAGAUAUCGAGAGGAACACCUGCGGCGAAGGCGGGUUGCUGGGCCGACACUGACGCUGAUGCGCGAAAGCGUGGGGAGCAAACAGG